rnacentral:rRNA from 1 species
GACGAACGCUGGCGGCGUGCCUAAUACAUGCAAGUCGAGCGGACGAAUCGAAAGCUUGCUUUUGAUUCGUUAGCGGCGGACGGGUGAGUAACACGUGGGCAACCUGCCCUGUAGACGGGGAUAACACCGAGAAAUCGGUGCUAAUACCGGAUAACACGAAAUGUCGCAUGACGUUUCGUUGAAAGACGGCGCAAGCUGUCGCUACAGGAUGGGCCCGCGGCGCAUUAGCUAGUUGGUGGGGUAACGGCUCACCAAGGCGACGAUGCGUAGCCGACCUGAGAGGGUGAUCGGCCACACUGGGACUGAGACACGGCCCAGACUCCUACGGGAGGCAGCAGUAGGGAAUCUUCCGCAAUGGACGAAAGUCUGACGGAGCAACGCCGCGUGAGCGAAGAAGGCCUUCGGGUCGUAAAGCUCUGUUGUUAGGGAAGAACAAGUAACGCAGUAACUGGCGUUACCGUGACGGUACCUAACGAGAAAGCCACGGCUAACUACGUG